UACGUAGGGUGCAAGCGUUGUCCGGAAUUAUUGGGCGUAAAGAGCUCGUAGGCGGUUUGUCGCGUCUGCUGUGAAAACUCGGGGCUUAACUCCGGGCCUGCAGUGGGUACGGGCAGGCUGGAGGCAGGUAGGGGAGAACGGAAUUCCCGGUGUAGCGGUGAAAUGCGCAGAUAUCGGGAGGAACACCGGUGGCGAAGGCGGUUCUCUGGGCCUGUACUGACGCUGAGGAGCGAAAGCGUGGGGAGCGAACAGG
rnacentral:rRNA from 1 species